GCAGGGGAAUCUCUGCUCCAGCACCUGGAGCACCUCCUGCCUCUCCUUCUGCACUGACCUGGGUGUUUGCGGAGUUGUUUCCCCUCACGUAUUCUCACUCCUCUUUCCAUCUGCAAAUUAUUGUGCAGGGUUUUUUUCCCCCUUUUAGAAUAUGUUAUCACAGAGGUGCUGCCACUGUUGCUGAUGGGCUUGGUCAUGGCCAGCAGCAGAUCUGUCUUGGAGCUGGCUGGCUUUGGCUCCAUUGGACACAGGGGAAGCUUCUAGCAGCUUCUUGCAGAAGCCACUCCUGUAGCCACCCGGCUACCAAACCCUUGACACGCAAGCCCAAUACAUCAGUGAAGGGAUGGGGAGGAAACCUGUAUAGCUUUUUAGUCACAAAUUCUCUAUACAAACCCAUUACAUGAGAUAUAGUGUUAGUUUGGAUUCACAGUACUUAUGCUCUGUGAACAUAUUUACAUGAAUCUUGCUUUAUCUGUGGAAUAAGUGGGGGAGCUGAAUCUAGGGGAAGAGAAGCCUGAGAGGGUACAGUCUUUAGAUAUAUAAAAGGUCCCUGAAAAAAGGUAGGUCUUGCACUUCUAGGGCACAUAGGACAGGAAGUAUUAAGUGUUUAAAAUGUAAUGAGAAAGAUUCAGGUUAUAUGUUAGAAAAAACUUCCCAUAAGGAUAGUGAAACACUGGAAGAAAUGGUCUCAGCAAAAUAUGGAGUGCACAUCAUUGAAAAGUUUCAAGCAUUGUUCAUCUGCCAUCAGUCAGGAAUUAUUAUAGUUGGUCUUGAUAAUCUUAAGGGUCUAUUCCAAUGUAAAUGAUUCUAUGAUUUAAUUAGAGUUGAUCCUGAUCUUGGGAGGGAGGGGAAGAACCUAUAUGACCUUAAGGUCCUUUCUUCUGUGCAUGAAAAUCAAUAGCCUAAAUGAGCACUGAAGGUGGGGAGAGUUUCUGCUGGUUUGAAGGGCUCUCUUGGUGGUGAAGUAAGCUCAACUCGUUUCCGUGAAUGACUGUUGCUCAUACAAACAGCCUCUUGGAUUCCAGUUACUGUUCUUAAAUGAGAGAAAUAUUGUGUAUUUGUAUGGAAUCAGAGCAGUGUGGUUUACAAAGUGAGCUUUAGAAAGUGGCUUUCUUAUUACAAAGAAAGGUUUCUUUGUAAUAUCUUUAUUACGCAUUAUGUGAACUACCUUUCAGUUAGAGAUGGAGGGUUAAAACUCGUGUUAAGUGGUGGUUUUUGUUUGUAUGCUGUUUCAUAGGAUCACAGAAUUGUUUGGGUUGGAGGGGACCUCAUAGGUCAUCUAGCUCCAACCUCCCUGCCAUGGGCAGGCACAGUUUCCACUAGUUCCAACCCCCUUGCUGUGGGCUUGGCAGUUUCCUUUAUUUGUGUUUAGUUUUCUUCAGCUUGCAACUGCCUUUAGCCUGUUCAUACAAAUGUCUUUAUGUGUGAUGAAAUUCUCUGCUGUGCAGAAAACCCUGAUGAGAUCAAUAUACUGCUGAGCAGCAUGCAUAUGCUGCAGGAGAUCUUUGCCCAGAGCAGGAAUUCUACCUUUGCCCCUAAUUCUGUUCUUGUUUUGCUUCUAAUCAGGACUAUCUCUGAAGAUAACAGCAAAGCUUCUGUUAUUUGAUUGAUAAGCUGAUGUAACCUUUAGUCUGUCUGCGAGAUUGAUUGGCUUAGCAGUGCCAGAAUAGCCCUGUUCUGUGGGCAGCAAAGAAUGACGUCCUCAGAGACUGAUAGAGUGACUCCGCACAUUUUCCCAUUUGGGUGCAGUCAUACUGAUUACUUUUCCUGCAUAGGUCAGAUCUAAGAGAGAGGAGACUUAGAUCCAGUCAAGUUAUCAAAUGUCAGCAAAUAUUUAUGUAACUUCUGCAUUUACCUUCCUUUAUCGUUGACCUGUUGAGUUGUCACAUAAUCCAGCGCACUUUGGCAUGGCAUUCUCUGUAUUGUCACAUGGUCGCUAGACCAGCCAUGCAUCAUCCAACACGUGGAGAUGCACACAAGGGGACUCAAGAAGGCUGAAAGUUUCAGACUUGCUGGAAUGAGAAGAACAACUAUAGAUGGUGAUCAGAACUUUGCAAUUGGACUGUUUUAUUUGAAGUUUCUAAUCUGUUCUUAAAAAAUAACUUUGCUUGAUGAAAGAGACUUGGAAAGGGCUUGGGUGUGGAGUUUCAGGGCUGUGAAAGGAAGUAAACAUCUUGCAUGCUCUGUGCCACCCCAGCUUAGAGGCAGGGUGUGAGACCAAAAGCUAGAGUUUUGGGUUGUGUGCAGAACUGGCAUCUGAAGAUUUAUUCAUCCAAAUAGGGAACAGAAAAAGCAUCAUGACACCUGGGCGACAAGUGAAAGAGCUGUAUCGUAUUGAAUGUGCUUGAUGCCGCACAGUGCGAUCUAUUCGCGCAGAGGAGAGAACCUGUUACUGCAGAUUUUGGAGGCCUGAUACUGCUGUGCCCAGAGAAGAAUGUGCCCAAAACAGAAGAGCUGGUCAUUUGGGAAGAAGUGCCUUUUGUAGUAGCUGACAGCACUGGCGGAGGGAGCUGGGGAGCAGGCGGCCUGGACAGUGCUGAGAGCAUCACUGCUCAGAGAGGCUGAGCCCCGAUGACCGCCUCAACAAGUGCAAGAGCAUAUUCAGGGGAUAAAAGCACCUUGCUGGCAGGUGUUGGUGCUGCUGCUGCUGUGAUGUCUGGCAUCAGGCCGAGGAGCUGGCCCUAGCAGUGCAGGGACGGUGAGGUUGCCCCAGGUAAGUGAUACGUCGGGCCCUGUGUGCUGCCCAUUUUGCCAGCCACCCCAAGGCUGUGCAGGGCCUUUGUGACUUGCACAUUCACUUGCCCUCCGUGCUCCUUAUGGGGAGAGUCACCCUGCAAGGGGCAGCAGCUGCUGUGCUGCCACUUGGGAGCAAUCUCAUUAAGAAUAAUUAACACUGCUAUAGCGUUUCAUCUGUCUAAACUGCCUAAUUGCUGUGCAGCUGCUCAGGGUGUCAGCAAGACAGAAAAGCCCCAGGAGGUCACAACCACUGUGCCCAGGGGUGUUGCCAGCCCCACCUUUGUGCAUAUGCCCCUGUUUUCAGAGACUGCCAGCAGCUGCUCAGGGGCCUCCUGCUUCAGCAAAGGAAACCCGCCUUGCUCUGUUUCUGAGGCAAAGGUAGCUGGUAGUGACCCAGCCCGGGGCCGAGCUGGGGAACCCCAGUUGAACACAGGCUACCAAACUUGUGGGUAAGUCAUGGUGAUAGAGGGCAGCACCAAAGAGCAGAGAUGUUAGAUUAGAGAAGAUCACCAGGCACAGCAUCACUGAAGAUUUCCCCCCUUUUCAUCUUGCUGACACUGGCUUCUUUCUUACAACCCUGACAGAGCUGGAGACACCGUUACGUUGCCUUCAUUGUUCAGACGCUUUUAACCGAUACUGAACCCAUUGAUAAAGAUUCCUCCCACAGGGCAGUGAAUUGGGAAGCAGCAGCAAGGGGACACAACGGCAAGCACGCAUUCACCAAUGUCGUUACGCUGCCUGCCCCUGGAGCCGGGCUCUGCAGUGUGGCAGUGCUCUGGCUCAGCCCACACACAUGCAACACCAACAUGAGGACAUGGGUUCCUCGGUGUGGCAGCCAUGAAGGGGAGGAAAGCGGGCUGAAGUGCCAAGGUCUCUCUAGAAAUAUGUCAUCUCUAUGAAGAGCACAACACAAAUUAAAGACUGUGAAUUUCAUAAGAUACAGACCUGUUUAUGCUCCAUCUGGGUCUCUGCAGAUGUGCCAGCACACAACAGUGAACACCACAGCUUUAGAAACAAUACAAGCAGGAAUCCAUUGAAGAAAAAUUCUGCAGGGCUUCCGCAAUAGUCAAAGACCAAAUACCCAGACAACAGCCAGUCUGCUCCAUUUGUAUCGUGUGGUUUGGUAUGUCCAGUGUUGCCUCUCCUCCACUUGCCUGUCUUGUCAUUUUCACUCAAAGACGAGGACAGGAGAGACCCUGAUGUCCCAUCUCACACCUCACCUGUUAUCCCCAUCCCUCUUCCUAUGAUCUCAGGGCAUUUCCCUUUCAUGAACUGACUGCACUGACUUUACGUGGCAAGGUUUUGGUAGCAGGGGACUGCAGGGGUGACUGUGAGAAGACACCAGAAGCUACUCCUAGGUCAGGCAGAGCCAGCUUUACAUGGCUGCAAAAUGGACCCACCACUGGCCAAAGUGACGCUGAUGGUGCCUCUGUGGUAACAUAUUCAAGGAAGGGUAAAAAACGCCAUGCAGCAGCAUGAGACAGGAGUGAGAAAAUGCAAUAGAAACAGCCCUGCAGAUACCAAGGUCAGAGAAGAAGGAGGGGAAGAAGUGCUCCAGGUGCCAUAGCAGAGACUCCCCUGCAGCCUGUGCAGAAGACUGUGGUGAAGCAAGUUGUCCCCCUGCAGCCCACGGAGGUGCAGAUAUUCACCCUGCAAGCCCAUGGAGGACCCCACGCUGGAGCAGGUGGACAUACUACAGGAAUUGUAGCUUGUGGACAGCCUGUGCUAGAACAGGUUCCUGGUAAGGAGCUGUUGCCUGUGGAGAGCAGCCCAUUCACAAGUAGGUUUUUUGGCAGCAGCUGUGGCCUGUGGGGGACACACACGUGAGCAGUUUGUUCCUGAAGGAUUGUACCCCAUGGAAAGGACCCAUGCUGGAGCAGUUCUUGAAGAACUGCAGUCUAUGGGGAAGGCCUCACGUUGGAGAAGUUCAUGAAGGACUGUAUCCUGUGAGAGGGACCCCAUGCCAGAGCAGAGAACAGCAUGAGAAGGAAACUGCAGCAGAGACGAAGCCUUACGAACUGACCACUAAACCCCAGUCCCUAUCCACUUGCAGCUGCUCAGGCAGGGAGGAGGUCGAUGUCAUGAGUGAGUUGAGCCUGGGAAGAAGCAGAAGUAGGCGGAAGGUGGUUUUACUUUUGUUUUCUUAAAAUCCCAGUCUCUUAUGAACUGGCAAGAGACUAGUUUUCCCCAAGUCGAGUUUUGCCCAUGACAGUAGUUGCUGAGUGAUCUCCCUGUUGUUAUCUCAACCCAUGAGCUUAUUUACCAUAUUUCCUCCCCCUGUCCUGCUGAGGAGGGGGAGUGAGAGCGCAACUUGGUGGGCACCUGGUGGCCAGUAAAGGUCAAUCUACCAUACUGGACACACAGAAAAGGACUGACAUCACUGUCCUCAUCACAGUGCCAUUCUACAAGGUGACACACAGGAUUGUGACUUCAGAGAUGCAGCAGAGAUGUGGAGGGCAAGGCUGUGAGGUCAUGUUUAACCAGCCAAUGUCCAAAAUCAAACCUCUGAGCCUACUUACACAAGCCAUGUGUCACCUGAAAUUACAUCUACCUCUAAAAGACAAACAAAUUGCUGUAGAACAGAAAGGCCAUGGGUGGCUAGAGCGUGAAUGGCAAGGGUAUAUUCCCCCCAAAACCAACAAGGUAUAUUAAGGUUUUAAAAGAGACCUGCCAAACUGCUGAAAUUUCUCUAUCCAUCAUUCUAGAGAGCCAGAGAGAUCUAGAAAUACUUUGUAGAGUCCAGAAUUCAAAAAGCUGCACUUCAGUCAUUGUGGGCACAAGACAGAGUGCUGGAAGCAAAGACGUGGCCAAAGACAGGGAUGCCCAGCUCUGAACAGUGCCUCUCCUCCGCAGGUUGCAGGGCACACCUUCCUGCCCUGGCCAUCCCUAGCCAGGCAUGUAUGUAGGUAUCGUCUUUUCCAUUUGGGGUCAGUAGUAUCAGAGGUUGCUCAGGUUUUCCUGAUUUUUGCAGGGCAGGAGGACAUGCACUUCUACUGGAUGAAGCUGUGAAGAUGCCCCAUCUCCCUCUGCCUGCAGGCUGGUGCUGCAGCAAGGCCAAGAGCAGCAGAGUGCAGGUUUUCUAGGGAUGGUGCCUUUCUAUGGGGGCACAGACUGGAGUCUGCUGGCAUCCCGGACUCCAGAUUCAGCAGCUUCCUAUCUGACCCUGCUAGUGAGGGGCUAAUUAAUGCUCUCUGGGGGCACACUCCCGAUGAAAGGGGAAAGUGAGAGACAGGCAGCCAGACAGGCCAACACUUCAGACAUCUCAGCCAGUUGGGCUCCUUGGGCAGAGCUUUCCGCCUACUGCUUUCCCCAGUGAGUCUCGCCUGCCCUGCAGCGUCACGCCAGGAGAACCUGAGACAGCAAAGCUCUGGUGUCCAUGCAGUUCCCUCGUUGCAAUGCAUUGAUCAGAGCUCUCUUAAAGAAAGUGGCCUGGAUAUCUGAGACACCUAUUGAUUGCUUCACUGGCUCUCUUCCUGCCCUGAUCCUCAUUCACUCAGCACUGCCUGAAUAACCUGCACUUCUGUGUUAGGAGCAGUCUCCCCAGAUCUUAAAGGGCUACAUUCACAGCUGUUCACCUAGCUGCAGCCCAUGUCGGGAGGAGAGAAGAUGCCUGGUGACCCUCAUCUGCACUCCCCAAGGGGAGAACUUAAGUCCUUCCUGCAGCACGAAGCUGAGCAUUUCAAGCAUAAGGCAGAAGCUUGAAGUCAUGGUUCCCUGCUUUUGCCAUCUUUGAAUACUGGUGCCUUCUGCUUGAAGAACAUGCUCAUGCCACAUGCCCAGCAGGCAGGAGGUGGUAUGUACAUCAUGUAUGACAACAAUAACCAAGAAAAUCUUUCCUCCCCUAAUGACAAGGUAUCAUAAAACCCUUAAUAAAAAAAAAAUCCUAAUGGAAUAUCAUACUCUUCUUCUUCUGAGGAAGGACAGUUUCUUUACCAAGAAAUGUCCCCACUAAGUUACCAGCCCAGUGCCAAGCGCAUCAGGGAGGAACCUGUCAAGAGAAGAACUGGUUUCUAGAUCUCACCUUUAACCACAAGACCAUUUUUCUCCAAACUCCCAGUAUUCAAGCAGGAGAAAGAACCUGGCUUAGCAACCUUCUGCCGUGGAUGAACCCAAGGAAGAAGAGAAAGGUACACCAAGGCAAAGUAGGAAGGGGAACUGGUGAAAGAAAAAAACAAAAGAUCAUAGCUCAAGUAUCAAGACACAUCUUAUCCUAACGAGUGCUUGGAGACUGCAGGGUCUCUGGGGAAACCAAGACAUCAGGGAUUUUUAAAAACAGUUAAAACUACUGGAAAUGUACAGCUGGGAACGCUCAUGCCCUGGCAGAGAAAAGGGGUGGAUGAGCUAAUAGGAUGACAGACCAGAGAUGGAAAAGACCAAUGAACCUUUUCUAAUCCAAAAUCCCUUGUCAAUUCUGUAUUUUUGAGCAAGUCAAACAAUUAAGGAUUUGUUCUUUCCAGAAACUCCUGGCUCUGUGGAGACCAAAGACUGUAAACCCAUUUUUCUCCCUUUUUGGAUUUUGCUUUUAAAGAUGUGUAUUGAUUGAAUUCUGUAUACUAAUACUUUGUGCUUCCACCAGGCUUCACAUAAAGUUAACCAAUCAGUCCAUCACAAUCCUUUUGCAAAGCAAAGCAGUAUGGCCCUUUUUUCUCAGCUUGGGAAACGGAGCAAAAGAACGGGAAAAAAAGAUGCCUGCCCAAAUCACUUGACCAGUCUGUGUUAGGACACAGUAGUCCUAUUUGCAGAUCGCUAGUGUAGCCUCCUCUGCUCUUGCUAUUGUCAUGUGUUCUUGCAUCUUG